AGAGUUUGAUCAUGGCUCAGGAUAAACGCUGGCGGCGUGCCUAACACAUGCAAGUCGAACGCCCUUAGCAAUAAGGGAGUGGCGGACGGGUGAGGAACACGUGGGUUAUCUACCUUGAGGUGAGGAAUACCGGCGAGAAAUCGCCGACAAUACCGCAUAUGUUUGGAAACAAACAAAGUCGAGUGAUCGACGCCACAAGA
rnacentral:rRNA from 1 species